AUACUCUGACUUCUCUUCACGUAGAGUAAAACUUCUGCCUUUUACUGAGG
rnacentral:snRNA from 1 species